rnacentral:rRNA from 1 species
AGAGUUUGAUCCUGGCUCAGAACGAACGCUGGCGGCGUGGAUAAGACAUGCAAGUCGAACGAGAGAAUUGCUAGCUUGCUAAUAAUUCUCUAGUGGCGCACGGGUGAGUAACACGUGAGUAACCUGCCCCCGAGAGCGGGAUAGCCCUGGGAAACUGGGAUUAAUACCGCAUAGUAUCGAAAGAUUAAAGCAGCAAUGCGCUUGGGGAUGGGCUCGCGGCCUAUUAGUUAGUUGGUGAGGUAGCGGCUCACCAAGGCGAUGACGGGUAGCCGGUCUGAGAGGAUGUCCGGCCACACUGGAACUGAGACACGGUCCAGACACCUACGGGUGGCAGCAGUCGAGAAUCAUUCACAAUGGGGGAAACCCUGAUGGUGCGACGCCGCGUGGGGGAAUGAAGGUCUUCGGAUUGUAAACCCCUGUCAUGUGGGAGCAAAUUAAAAAGAUAGUACCACAAGAGGAAGAGACGGCUAACUCUGUGCCAGCAGCCGCGGUAAUACAGAGGUCUCAAGCGUUGUUCGGAAUCACUGGGCGUAAAGCGUGCGUAGGCUGUUUCGUAAGUCGUGUGUGAAAGGCGCGGGCUCAACCCGCGGACGGCACAUGAUACUGCGAGACUAGAGUAAUGGAGGGGGAACCGGAAUUCUCGGUGUAGCAGUGAAAUGCGUAGAUAUCGAGAGGAACACUCGUGGCGAAGGCGGGUUCCUGGACAUUAACUGACACUGAGGCACGAAGGCCAGGGGAGCGAAAGGGAUUAGAUACCCCUGUAGUCCUGGCAGUAAACGGUGCACGCUUGGUGUGCGGGGAAUCGACCCCCUGCGUGCCGGAGCUAACGCGUUAAGCGUGCCGCCUGGGGAGUACGGUCGCAAGAUUAAAACUCAAAGAAAUUGACGGGGACCCGCACAAGCGGUGGAGUAUGUGGCUUAAUUCGAUGCAACGCGAAGAACCUUACCUGGGCUUGACAUGUAAUGAACAACAUGUGAAAGCAUGCGACUCUUCGGAGGCGUUACACAGGUGCUGCAUGGCCGUCGUCAGCUCGUGUCGUGAGAUGUUUGGUUAAGUCCAGCAACGAGCGCAACCCCUGUUGCCAGUUACCAGCACGUGAAGGUGGGGACUCUGGCGAGACUGCCCAGAUCAACUGGGAGGAAGGUGGGGACGACGUCAGGUCAGUAUGGCCCUUAUGCCCAGGGCUGCACACGUACUACAAUGCCCAGUACAGAGGGGGCCGAAGCCGCGAGGCGGAGGAAAUCCUGAAAACUGGGCCCAGUUCGGACUGUAGGCUGCAACCCGCCUACACGAAGCCGGAAUCGCUAGUAAUGGCGCAUCAGCUACGGCGCCGUGAAUACGUUCCCGGGUCUUGUACACACCGCCCGUCACAUCAUGGAAGCCGGUCGCACCCGAAGUAUCUGAAGCCAACCGCAAGGAGGCAGGGUCCUAAGGUGAGACUGGUAACUGGGAUGAAGUCGUAACAAGGUAACC